rnacentral:rRNA from 1 species
UACGAAGGGGGCUAGCGUUGUUCGGAUUUACUGGGCGUAAAGCGCACGUAGGCGGAUUGUUAAGUCGGGGGUGAAAUCCUGGAGCUCAACUCCAGAAUUGCCUUCGAUACUGGCUUUCUAGAGGCUGGAAGAGGUUAGUGGAAUUCCCAGUGUAGAGGUGAAAUUCGUAGAUAUUGGGAAGAACACCAGUGGCGAAGGCGGCUAACUGGUCCAGACUCUGACGCUGAGGCACGAAGGCCCAGGGG